AAAAUAAACACAGCAAAACUACAUGAAAACCCUUAUGGAAAUACAGGAGAAGCCUUGUAUAUCUACAUCUUGACAAUAGCUGCAGCAAAUAUGGGCUGAAUCAGUUAAAGCAUAUUUGUUUCACAAAGGUUUUAGUAGGCAGUGUGACAGGCGUGCUGUUUUCCAUUCUAGGACUCAUUCUGCACAUGAAAAACCCUUUGGUAUUAUGAGUUACCCUGUGUUUCAUCAACAUGUAUUAUUGUGCACAGCAUAAAUCAAUACAACAAAGAGAAAUGUCAGAAAUAGUGACUCAUAUCUGUUUAAGAAACUUCUAGAAAGAUCUGUUCACUCCACUGCAUUGUCAUGGUGAUAAACAUUUAGAGGGGAGAAAAAAAUCUCGCUGUAGAAUGUUACAUUGUUAAUUGGUCACAGCUGCAGCUCGUGAGAGUUUUGUCAGCUCCAUUGCAUGCCGAUUACAAAACUAACACAGCUGGAAGAGAUAUACUCUGUAUCUUGUUUAAAAGGUAGGACUCUCUCAUUUUUAAAACUACCAACCUUGGGGGGUGGAGUUAAGCAUGUCUGCACAGAAAAGCAAUUUUCUGAGAGAGUCAGCAAUGUUUGAUGGACAGUCAAAUGUUUUUUUGUGUGAUUAAAAUGCUGUAAAACCGAAAGUAUUUUUGAAAAAAGUUAGGGGCUGGGUUUAUAAACAUUAAAGCCUCCUCUUUUUAGGAAAGAAAAAACUUGACCAUUUCUGGCCUGCCUUUAAAGCCUGAUAAAAUAGGUGUAGCUCUGCCUAACCCGAGACCAGGCCAGACGGGUUUAAGAUGUUAAAGGCUGGUAUCCUGCAGGUUUUGGAUGCUUUCCUGCUUCAAUACACCUGAAUCAAACAGGUGGGUCAUUAGCAGGCUUCUACAGAGCCUGAUGCAAUGUUAAGGAGCAUAUUCAAGGAUUUGAAUCAGGAAUUCUGGAGCAGAGACAUAUCUAAAAGAUGCGGAAAACCAACCCUGGAGGACCAGAGUCUGACACCAGCACCAAUUGAGAGGGAUUUCUUCCAGGAUUACCCUGCUCCAUAUUUCUACAAACCCUGAUGACUAUCCCUAAUGGGGACUUUCUCCUUUAAGUUUUUCCUGCUGAAGAGCAGAAUCCACGGUUCCAUCAAU